GCAUCGAUAGCUCAGUGGCAGAGCGGUGGGGUGUUUAGUGUUUACCCAUGCAAGCGCGGGUUCGAUCCCCGGUCGUUGCA